UAGAGGAAGUAAAAGUCGUAACAAGGUUUCCGUAGGUGAACCUGCGGAAGGAUCAUUAUUGAAUUUUAAUGAAGAGUUUGGUUGUAGCUGGUCUAUUUAUUUAGGCAUGUGCACACCUCCUCUUUCAUCCCACACACACCUGUGAACUUGUGAGACAGUUGGGGAAUUUAUUUGUUAUUUUUGUAAUAAAAUGAUAAUAAGUCAUUGAACCCUUCUGUCUACUCAACUCAUAUAAAACAAUUUAUUUUAAAUGAAUGUAAUGGAUGUAACACAUCUCAUACUAAGUUUCAACAACGAUCUCUUGGCUCUCGCAUCGAUGAAGAACGCAGCGAAAUGCGAUAAGUAAUGUGAAUUGAGAAUUCAGUGAAUCAUCGAAUCUUUGAACGCACCUUGCGCUCCUUGGUAUUCCUUGGAGCAUGCCUGUUUGAGUAUCAUGAAAUCUUCAAAAUCAAUCUUUUUGUUAACUCAAUUAGUUUGAUUUUGGUAUUGGAGGUCUUUUGCAGCUUCACACCUGCUCCUCUUUGUGUAUUAGCUGGAUCUCAGUGUUAUGCUUGGUUCCACUCAGCGUGAUAAAUUAUCUAUCGCUGAGGACACUGUAAAAAGUGGCCAAGGUAAAUGCAGAUGAACCGCUUCUAAUAGUCCAUUGACUUGGACACUAUUAUUAUGAUCUGAUCUCAAAUCAGGUAG
rnacentral:rRNA from 1 species